AUGCACGACACGGAAGGCCUAUCGUUCAUGAAGCAUGGUUGUGUCUUCAGUGCGCACCGCCGGAUGAACGACAUGCUGGGACACGCUAUCCCUGAUUUAUGCCGCUUCAGCUUGGAUGAGUCUCCAUCGUGUGGAACCGGACUAGAAAGCUGCAUCAAUGAUUCUCAUUGCCCACUGCUAUGGAUCGUGCCAUCCAUGAAGAACACAUGGGACUGGAACCUGGAGGAGGACAUUUGUUGCACGGGCUCCAACACGCUCUUUGAGAAAAAAAGCCUUACCCAGUACUGCCAUCUCUUCUUCUUCCUCCUCUCUUCCCCAUCAUCGGCCGCACACCAUUUACCCCCGCUCACUGCUCGCCCGCCCGUGCCAUCUUCCUUGGUAGCUCGCGCGUACCAUAUCCCCCCGCUCACUGCUCGGCCACACGAGGAGAAGCUUCUUCGCUCGCCCCCCCGAAUCCACUUCCCCGUUGGCUCACAGGCACCGAAAACCCCAAUGUCGAAGAAGGAUUGGCCGGUGCUACCGACUGGCGUCAAGUUCAAUCCCACAGAUCAGGAGCUGAUCGAGCACCUUGAGGCCAAAGUGAGUGCUGACAGCGCGAGAUUUCAGUCUCUCAUCGAUUUGUUCAUACCAAGCAUCGACAGCGAGCAUGGCAUAUGCUACACCCAACCUGAGAAACUUCCAGGUAUCACACUGAGUGUCCUAAGGAAGCAUUUCUUCCAGCGCAAUUCUAGGGCGUUCAAAAGGAGGACCAACUGGGUGAUGCACCAGUACCACCUCGGGGACCUGGAGCAAGAGAAGGAGCGGGAGCUGGUCCUCUGCAAGAUUUUCUACCAGACGAACACUAGGGCCAGGAGUAAAAAGAUUAUAAGUCGAGCAAGUUUCAACUGGGCUGUAGACUGCCUAGGGUUGGUUUUGUUUUUAACAGGCCCAGCCCAUGACGACAACGGGGCACAAAGAUCCAGCAGGUAG
rnacentral:rRNA from 1 species